UGACUUUUCCCUUCUCCUUUCCUUCUUCCCCUUACUCCUAUGUGUCAUCCUAAAGGGCAUCUCAGGCAUGUUCAACAACGUGACACAACAUCACUGGCCUGACAUGUGACAUCACUACAGGUGGUGUGACACAACAAUUCAUUAGCCCUGCCAACAGAAUUCAAAGAGCUGGCUGCCAGGGAGCACGGAGGUGAGGCUGGAGAAACAGUUUGGAGAAUUUUCUAUAUAUAAGAACCUGCAAAGGACCUCGUGAAACAGUCUUGCAGAGCAGAAAUGUCCGAGGCAUCCUGGAAGGUUUGCUUUUUGCAAAUGGGUUUCAUUUCACUAAGACACUAACCAGCUGUUUUUGCUUCACAUCACCACCUGUCCUGU
rnacentral:lncRNA from 1 species